GAUUCCUUCUGUGGCAGAGCUUAACGGAGACCUUGCACCCGAGAGGGGGGAACGACUAUAAAAAACUCCCAGCGCAAGUCAGUUUUACUGGCAACACAAUCGAAUUGCGGGGACGCUUUAAGGCUCAUCAGUACCAACUGUUUCUACAUAAGCAGGGCUAGCAUAGCUAGAGGUCACAAUCUGAUGGGAUGCUACAAUAAGCAAUCCGCAGCGGCUUCUAGCCGUCCACAGACUAAGUGGUUGUGGGUAGGAGAUCCCUACUUAAGAUAUAGUCGGGCCCUAUAGGCUACUAUAGGGGUUCUGCGUCCGUAGGUGAACCUGCGGAAGGAUCAUUAAAGAAUAGCAAAGGGGCGUCAGUCUAGGCUGUCGCUCUGAUGUUAACCCGUGUCUACUUACAUUUGUUGCUUUGGCAGGCCGUGGGUAACCACUGCGGGCUUCGGCCUUCAAGUGCCUGCCAAAGGUCCAAACUCUGAAAUUUAGUGAUGUCUGAGUACUAUAUAAUAGUUAAAACUUUCAACAACGGAUCUCUUGGUUCUGGCAUCGAUGAAGAACGCAGCGAAAUGCGAUAAGUAAUGUGAAUUGCAGAAUUCAGUGAAUCAUCGAAUCUUUGAACGCACAUUGCGCCCUGUGGUAUUCCGCAGGGCAUGCCUGUUCGAACGUCAUUAGUACCAAUCAAGCCUAAUGCUUGGUCUUGGGGUAUGCCUGUCUGGCAGCCUCUAAAAUCAGUGGCAUUGCUAGUAGGCUCUCUGCGUAGUAAAUAACCCUCGCUACAGAGUUCUAUCAGUCACCCGCCAAAACCCCCAAUUUCUCAGGGUUGACUUCGGAUCAGGUAGGGAUACCCGCUGAACUUAAGCAUAUCAAUAAGCGGAGGAAAAGAAACCAACAGGGAUUACCUCAGUAACGGCGAGUGAAGCGGUAACAGCUCAAAUUUGAAAGCUGCCAACAGGCCGCAUUGUAAUUUGUAGAAGAUGCUUUGGGUGUUGGCCUAUUCUAAGUUCCUUGGAACAGGACGUCAUAGAGGGUGAGAAUCCCGUAUGUGAUUAGUGCCAUCCCCCGUGUAAAGCUCUUUCGACGAGUCGAGUUGUUUGGGAAUGCAGCUCAAAAUGGGUGGUAAAUUUCAUCUAAAGCUAAAUAUUGGCCAGAGACCGAUAGCGCACAAGUAGAGUGAUCGAAAGAUGAAAAGCACUUUGGAAAGAGAGUUAAACAGUACGUGAAAUUGUUGAAAGGGAAGCGCUUGCAAUCAGACUUGCAGGUAGUUGAUCAUCCGAGGUUCUCCCCGGUGCACUCGACUGCUUUCAGGCCAGCAUCGGUUUCAGUGGUGGGAUAAAGGCCGUGAGAAUGUGGCUCUUCGGAGUGUUAUAGCUCACGGUGCAAUGCCGCCUACUGGGACCGAGGACCGCGCU
rnacentral:rRNA from 1 species